GGUUAAGUGACUAAGCGUACAUGGUGGAUGCCUUGGCAGUCAGAGGCGAUGAAGGACGUACUAACCUGCGAUAAGCCGUGAGCAGUCGGUAAGAGACAUUACGACUCACGGAUUUCCGAAUGGGGAAACCCACUCAGCAUAAGCUGGGUAUCGUUACAUGAAUACAUAGUGUAACGAGGCGAACCGGGAGAACUGAAACAUCUAAGUACCCCGAGGAAAAGAAAUCAACCGAGAUUCCCUCAGUAGCGGCGAGCGAACGGGGAUUAGCCCUUAAGCAUCUUGGAAGUUAGUGGAACGGUCCUGGAAAGGCCGGCGAUACAGGGUGAUAGCCCCGUACACGAAAACAACCUUGAUGUGAAAUCGAGUAGGGCGGGACACGUGACAUCCUGUCUGAAUAUGGGGGGACCAUCCUCCAAGGCUAAAUACUCCUGACUGACCGAUAGUGAACCAGUACCGUGAGGGAAAGGCGAAAAGAACCCCUGUGAGGGGAGUGAAAUAGAACCUGAAACCGUGUACGUACAAGCAGUGGGAGCCCUUCGGGGUGACUGCGUACCUUUUGUAUAAUGGGUCAGCGACUUACAUUUUGUAGCGAGGUUAACCGUAUAGGGGAGCCGUAGGGAAACCGAGUCUUAACUGGGCGUCUAGUUGCAAGGUGUAGACCCGAAACCGGGUGAUCUAGCCAUGGGCAGGUUGAAGGUUGAGUAACAUCAACUGGAGGACCGAACCCACUAACGUUGCAAAGUUAGGGGAUGACCUGUGGCUGGGGGUGAAAGGCCAAUCAAACUCGGAGAUAGCUGGUUCUCCCCGAAAGCUAUUUAGGUAGCGCCUCGGACGAAUACUACUGGGGGUAGAGCACUGUUUGGGCUAGGGGGUCAUCCCGACUUACCAACCCCAUGCAAACUCCGAAUACCAGUAAGUAAUAUCCGGGAGACACACGGCGGGUGCUAACGUCCGUCGUGAAGAGGGAAACAACCCAGACCGCCGGCUAAGGUCCCAAAGUUCUGGUUAAGUGGGAAACGAUGUGGGAAGGCUCAGACAGCUAGGAUGUUGGCUUAGAAGCAGCCAUCAUUUAAAGAAAGCGUAAUAGCUCACUAGUCGAGUCGGCCUGCGCGGAAGAUGUAACGGGGCUCAAACCAGGCACCGAAGCCGCGGAUUCACGCUAAGCGUGAGUGGUAGGGGAGCGUUCUGUAAGUCUGCGAAGGUGUAUCGAGAGGUAUGCUGGAGAUAUCAGAAGUGCGAAUGCUGACGUAAGUAACGAUAAAGGGGGUGAAAAGCCUCCUCGCCGGAAGACCAAGGGUUCCUGUCCAACGUUAAUCGGGGCAGGGUGAGUCGACCCCUAAGGUGAGGCCGAAAGGCGUAAUCGAUGGGAAGCAGGUUAAUAUUCCUGCACGACUUGUAAUUGCGAUGGGGGGACGGAGAAGGCUAGGUGGGCCAGGCGACGGUUGUCCUGGUGAAAGUGCGUAGGUGGUGUUUCUAGGCAAAUCCGGAGACACAACACUGAGACACGAGACGAACACACUACGGUGUGGAAGCCAUUGAUGCCCUGCUUCCAGGAAAAGCCUCUAAGCUUCAGAUUACAAGUCAUCGUACCCCAAACCGACACAGGUGGUCGGGUAGAGAAUACCAAGGCGCUUGAGAGAACUCGGGUGAAGGAACUAGGCAAAAUAGUACCGUAACUUCGGGAGAAGGUACGCUCUUGUUGGUGAAGUCCCUUGCGGAUGGAGCUGACGGGAGUCGCAGUGACCAGAUGGCUGGGACUGUUUAUCAAAAACACAGCACUCUGCAAACACGAAAGUGGACGUAUAGGGUGUGACACCUGCCCGGUGCCGGAAGGUUAAUUGAUGGGGUUAGCGCAAGCGAAGCUCUUGAUCGAAGCCCCGGUAAACGGCGGCCGUAACUAUAACGGUCCUAAGGUAGCGAAAUUCCUUGUCGGGUAAGUUCCGACCUGCACGAAUGGUGUAACCAUGGCCAUGCUGUCUCCACCCGAGACUCAGUGAAAUCGAAUUCGCCGUGAAGAUGCGGUGUACCCGCGGCUAGACGGAAAGACCCCGUGAACCUUUACUACAGCUUGGCACUGAACAUUGAACCUACAUGUGUAGGAUAGGUGGGAGGCUUUGAAGGCGUGACGCCAGUUGCGCUGGAGCCGUCCUUGAAAUACCACCCUUGUAUGUUUGAUGUUCUAACGCAGGGCCCUGAAUCGGGCUCGCGGACAGUGCCUGGUGGGUAGUUUGACUGGGGCGGUCUCCUCCCAAAGAGUAACGGAGGAGCACGAAGGUUGGCUAAUCCUGGUCGGACAUCAGGAGGUUAGUGCAAUGGCAUAAGCCAGCUUAACUGCGAGACGGACAGGUCGAGCAGGUACGAAAGUAGGUCAUAGUGAUCCGGUGGUUCUGAAUGGAAGGGCCAUCGCUCAACGGAUAAAAGGUACUCCGGGGAUAACAGGCUGAUACCGCCCAAGAGUUCAUAUCGACGGCGGUGUUUGGCACCUCGAUGUCGGCUCAUCACAUCCUGGGGCUGAAGUCGGUCCCAAGGGUAUGGCUGUUCGCCAUUUAAAGUGGUACGCGAGCUGGGUUCAGAACGUCGUGAGACAGUUCGGUCCCUAUCUGCCGUGGGCGUUGGAUGAUUGAAGGGAGUUGCUCCUAGUACGAGAGGACCGGAGUGAACGAACCUCUGGUGUUCGGGUUGUCACGCCAGUGGCACUGCCCGGUAGCUAAGUUCGGAAUCGAUAACCGCUGAAAGCAUCUAAGCGGGAAGCGAGCCCUGAGAUGAGUCAUCCCUGACCCCUUGAGGGUCCUAAAGGGCCGUUGGAGACCACAACGUUGAUAGGUGGGGUGUGUAAGCGCGGCGACGUGUUGAGCUAACCCAUACUAAUUACCCGUGAGGCUUAACCAU
rnacentral:rRNA from 1 species